CUCUCUCCCCCCUUCUCUGUAAACAGCAGCGAUCAACAAUCCUCUAACCAUUUCCGUGCCUUUCGUGACAAAUUGGAUUACUGAUAUAAUCCAAUUAUAGUGUUAUAUGUGUUUCUAUAUAUGUAAAUCUAUAUAUAUAUAUGUGGGUGUGGGUGUGUGUGUUUGAUUGUUUGCGUGUAUACAGAGUCAUAGACACACUACAAGACUGAUGGUGGUUGAUUUAUCGUGCCAUUUGAGUGUUGGAGUUUCUCAUCACAUCCGCUCAUUUUCCAUGACAUCUUUUCUGGCAACCUCUCCUAAUAUUUCUGAGAAAUUAAUGGUUAUGUGAAGGCUUGGGAUGAAAAGAAGGUCGAGUUGGGAACUCCGUCACAAAAAUGUUUCCUUCCCUUUCUCAUCGGCAUGCCAAACUGGUAAAUUUUGAUUCGACUUAUUCCCCAUUAAAUAUUUAAUCUUAUUUAUAUUGUAUCUUUUUUGGAGGCUCGAGAAGGGAUUCAUCAGCUCCAAAUAUUCAAAUUUGGGCCAGCGGUUAGCAAAUUGUUUAUAGCCUUCUCACCAUGGCUUUAGUUUGGUGAGGUGGAUAUUGAGGGUUCAUUGGUUGCUAGUAUUAUUUUAAACAAGAUAGAUUUGGUGACUGAGGCUGAAUUGGAGGUGUUGACAAAGCGAAUUCAGUUAGGCUUUCACCUUGUACAUAGAUAGAUUUUACUUGUAUCUUUGAAAUGUGGUUACUCAUUGAAUUGGGAGGGUUAGAGGUGUUUUUAGACUGUUCCAAGAGAAACUGAACUUGUAUGAAUGUGGAAAGUGGUAAAACGGUUGUUGGCAUUUUUAUAUCUAUUUGAUUCCGGCAUAAUGAUCGAUUCUUUGAAGUUUAGGCACUUCUUCGGUUAGUUCAGCUGUGGGUUUUGCUGUUGCCUUUUGACAAGCCAAAUUU